rnacentral:rRNA from 1 species
GACGAGGGGUGCAAGCGUUAUUCGGAAUUAUUGGGCGUAAAGGGUGUGUAGACGGCGCAUUAAGUCUGUUGUUAAAUCUCCUGGCUCAACCAGGAAUCAGCGAUGGAUACUGAUGUGCUAGAGGGUGGAAGAGAGAAGUGGAAUUCUCGGAGUAGCGGUAAAAUGCGUAGAUCUCGAGAGGAACACCAAUGGCGAAGGCAGCUUCUUAGUCCAUUUCUGACGUUGAGACACGAAAGCGUGGGGAGCAAACAGG